AUUGAACGCUGGCGGCAGGCCUAACACAUGCAAGUCGAACGAGUGGCGGACGGGUGAGUAAUGUCUGGGAAACUGCCCGAUGGAGGGGGAUAACUACUGGAAACGGUAGCUAAUACCGCAUCCCAUCGGAUGUGCCCCGAUGGGAUUAGCGAGUGGGUGGGGUAACGGCUCACCUAGGCGACGAUCCCUAGCUGGUCUGAGAGGAUGACCAGCGACAUUGGAACUGAGACGCGGUCCAGGCUACUACGGGAGGGAGCAGUGGGUAAUGUGGCACAAUGGGCGCAGGCCUGAUGCAGCGAUGCCGCGUGUAUGAAGGAGGCCUUCGGGUUGUAAAGAACUUUCAGCGAGGAGGCGUUACUCGCAGAAGAAGCACCGGCUAACUCCGUGCCAGCAGCCGCGGUAAUAC
rnacentral:rRNA from 1 species